GACGAACGCUGGCGGCGUGCUUAACACAUGCAAGUCGAACAGAAAGGCCCUGCUUUUGUGGGGUGCUCGAGUGGCGAACGGGUGAGUAGCACGUGAGUAACCUGCCCUUGACUUUGGGAUAACUUCAGGAAACUGGGGCUAAUACCGGAUAGGAGCUCCUGCUGCAUGGUGGGGGUUGGAAAGUUUCGGCGGUUGGGGAUGGACUCGCGGCUUAUCAGCUUGUUGGUGGGGUAGUGGCUUACCAAGGCUUUGACGGGUAGCCGGCCUGAGAGGGUGACCGGCCACAUUGGGACUGAGAUACGGCCCAGACUCCUACGGGAGGCAGCAGUGGGGAAUAUUGCACAAUGGGCGGAAGCCUGAUGCAGCAACGCCGCGUGCGGGAUGACGGCCUUCGGGUUGUAAACCGCUUUCGCCUGUGACGAAGCGUGAGUGACGGUAAUGGGUAAAGAAGCACCGGCUAACUACGUG
rnacentral:rRNA from 1 species